rnacentral:rRNA from 1 species
AACGAACGCUGGCGGCGUGCCUAACACAUGCAAGUCGAACGAGAAAGGGGCUUCGGCUCCGAGUAAAGUGGCGCACGGGUGAGUAACACGUGGGUAACCUGCCUCUAAGAUUGGGAUAACUCGUCGAAAGAUGAGCUAAUACCGAAUAAGACCACAGUUCCUGCGGGAACAGGGGUCAAAGGUAGCCUCUGCUUGCAAGCUAUUACUUAGAGAUGGGCCUGCGCACCAUUAGCUAGUUGGUAGGGUAACGGCCUACCAAGGCAAAGAUGGUUAGCUGGUCUGAGAGGAUGAUCAGCCACACUGGAACGGAGACACGGUCCAGACUCCUACGGGAGGCAGGAGUGGGGAAUAUUGCGCAAUGGGCGAAAGCUUGACGCAGCAACGCCGCGUGAGUGAUGAAGGCCUUCGGGUCGUAAAGCUCUGUCGGGAGGAACGAAUGCUCCUGAGGUUAACAGCCUCGGGAGGUGACGGUACCUUCAAAGGAAGCACCGGCUAACUCUGUGCCAGCCGCCGCCGUAAUAC